rnacentral:rRNA from 1 species
GAUGAACGCUAGCGACAGGCCUAACACAUGCAAGUCGAGGGGCAGCGAGGAUGUAGCAAUACAUUUGUCGGCGACCGGCGCACGGGUGAGUAACGCGUAUGCAACCUACCCGACACAGGGGGAUAACCCGGAGAAAUCCGGACUAAUACCGCAUAAAGCAGGGGUCCCGCAUGGGAAUAUUUGUUAAAGAGUUAUCGGUGUCGGAUGGGCAUGCGUUCCAUUAGCUAGUUGGUGAGGUAACGGCUCACCAAGGCAACGAUGGAUAGGGGUUCUGAGAGGAAGGUCCCCCACACUGGUACUGAGACACGGACCAGACUCCUACGGGAGGCAGCAGUGAGGAAUAUUGGUCAAUGGACGGAAGUCUGAAACCAGCCAAGUCGCGUGAAGGA